rfam:Schistocephalus solidus strain NST_G2 genome assembly, scaffold: SSLN_scaffold0005430
GGCCUCGUAGCUCAGUUGGCUAGAGUGCUGGCUGUACCAAAGCCUUCCCCUUGCUGGCGUUGGUUCGAAUCCCACCGAGACCA